rnacentral:rRNA from 1 species
AUUCCAGCUCCAAUAGCGUAUAUUAAAGUUGUUGCAGUUAAAAAGCUCGUAGUUGAACUUUGGGCCUGGCAGGCCGGUCCGCUUUUUGGCGAGUACUGACCCUGCCGGGCCUUUCCUUCUGGCUAACCUCCCCUCUGGAGAGGCGAACCAGGACUUUUACUUUGAAAAAAUUAGAGUGUUCAAAGCAGGCCUUUGCUCGAAUAUAUUAGCAUGGAAUAAUAGAAUAGGACGUUUGGUUCUAUUUUGUUGGUUUCUAGGACCAUCGUAAUGAUUAAUAGGGACGGUCGGGGGCAUCAGUAUUCAGUUGUCAGAGGUGAAAUUCUUGGAUUUACUGAAGACUAACUACUGCGAAAGCAUUUGCCAAGGACGUUUUCAUCA